rnacentral:rRNA from 1 species
AGAGUUUGAUCCUGGCUCAGGACGAACGCUGGCGGCGUGCCUAACACAUGCAAGUCGAACGGAGAAUUUUAUUUCGGUAGAAUUCUUAGUGGCGAACGGGUGAGUAACGCGUAGGCAACCUGCCCUUUAGACGGGGACAACAUUCCGAAAGGAGUGCUAAUACCGGAUGUGAUCAUCGUGCCGCAUGGCAGGAUGAAGAAAGAUGGCCUCUACAAGUAAGCUAUCGCUAAAGGAUGGGCCUGCGUCUGAUUAGCUAGUUGGUAGUGUAACGGACUACCAAGGCGAUGAUCAGUAGCCGGUCUGAGAGGAUGAACGGCCACAUUGGGACUGAGACACGGCCCAAACUCCUACGGGAGGCAGCAGUGGGGAAUCUUCCGCAAUGGACGAAAGUCUGACGGAGCAACGCCGCGUGAGUGAUGAAGGAUUUCGGUCUGUAAAGCUCUGUUGUUUAUGACGAACGUGCAGUGUGUGAACAAUGCAUUGCAAUGACGGUAGUAAACGAGGAAGCCACGGCUAACUACGUGCCAGCAGCCGCGGUAAUACGUAGGUGGCGAGCGUUGUCCGGAAUUAUUGGGCGUAAAGAGCAUGUAGGCGGCUUAAUAAGUCGAGCGUGAAAAUGCGGGGCUCAACCCCGUAUGGCGCUGGAAACUGUUAGGCUUGAGUGCAGGAGAGGAAAGGGGAAUUCCCAGUGUAGCGGUGAAAUGCGUAGAUAUUGGGAGGAACACCAGUGGCGAAGGCGCCUUUCUGGACUGUGUCUGACGCUGAGAUGCGAAAGCCAGGGUAGCGAACGGGAUUAGAUACCCCGGUAGUCCUGGCCGUAAACGAUGGGUACUAGGUGUAGGAGGUAUCGACCCCUUCUGUGCCGGAGUUAACGCAAUAAGUACCCCGCCUGGGGAGUACGGCCGCAAGGUUGAAACUCAAAGGAAUUGACGGGGGCCCGCACAAGCGGUGGAGUAUGUGGUUUAAUUCGACGCAACGCGAAGAACCUUACCAAGGCUUGACAUUGAUUGAACGCUCUAGAGAUAGAG